rnacentral:misc_RNA from 1 species
ACAAUUAAAAGAAUUACUGAAUAAACAUCACAUAAACGCACUACAUAUGUUCGAUUGCAACAGAAACUGUUAUACACGAGAUAUUGACAAAACAAAACUAAACGAUCAAUUGUUUACACAAAACGUCAUCAAUAAGACCCAAGACCGUGCUUGAGUGAAGUUAGAACUAAAACACGAACCAGCAGCGUAUCAACAGGCGCUACUUUGAAUGAAGUUGGUUGCCUAUUGACCUUUCUCUGUGUGUGUAACUGUACAUGCUCUCACGCAGCGCAGGGUGUAGAAAAACCAGGUUCGAUGAAUAUGUGUGAAUCAUGCAUAAGAUUAAUAUUUGUGACUACUCUGCUACAAUAAGAAUGUGAAACGUCACAAAGUAGAAUCAUUGUCAUAACUUAUAAAAAUGUUUGUGAUCAUUCAAAAUGAAGAGAUAAUGUUGCCAAAAUUGUACAAACUAUUUCGCCAAUGAUGCCACAUUAGCUCGAGAUUUUACAAAUGUUAUAAUUUUGAUUCUGUGAAAACAUAAUAUACAUAGGUACCUGCGUAAAAACAAAAAAUAUGUUUAUGCAACUAACGUCCUCUGUCAAAUAUUAUCCAAAUUACGACGCAACAGAAAAAGCAGUACUGUGUGUUACAAAUGCUCUUUUCCAAAAGUUUCAGCAUGAUGCUACUAGAUGGCACUAUACAAAAAAAUUAAGAAAAAUGUUUCAUCUAAAAUAAUAUUCGCUUGAGUUUCUCACCUCCUAUCUCAAAUAAUAUCUCAAUUAAAUAAGAGUUUACC